AGCUACAGUAAUUGAAGAUCCAACUGGCGUACGAGCAGCGGGCCGUCACAAACGCAGAGGCAGAAUCUGAGGUCCUGAGAAAGAGGCGUCGAGAGGCGGAGGCCGAAUGCCAGCGACUUCGUCGGGCUCUCCAGGAUGCGCUACUGAAAAAGGGAGAGCUAGAAGAAGAAGUUGAGAAUCUGAGGCAGUCCUGGAUAGGGGGUGGAGUAGAUAAUUCUAGGUCGGAAGGAGCAGAGCUUCCCUAGGGCUCUUCUUGGCCUUCCAUCUUCUCAUGUAUACAUUUUCCCUUUUGCUGUGUUGUCUCGCUUUUGUCGCUUUGCUUUUCUUCCUUUGGCCUUCUAGGCUUCGUGGUGUAUAUUUUGCAAAUAGAAUGAGAAGGAGAUUUUGUAUUACCUCAUCUGCAUA
rnacentral:lncRNA from 1 species